GACCUCAAAUCAGGUAGGACUACCCGCUGAACUUAAGCAUAUCAAUAAGCGGAGGAAAAGAAACUAACAAGGAUUCCCCUAGUAACUGCGAGUGAAGCGGGAAAAGCUCAAAUUUAAAAUCUGGUAGUCUUUGGCUGCCC
rnacentral:rRNA from 1 species